GGGUUCCGGUACAGAGUCAAUGUGGAGGCUAUAUACAGGGGGUACCGGUACAGAGUAAAUGUGGAGGCUAUAUACAGGGGGUACCGGUACAGAGUCAAUGUGGAGGCUAUAUACAGGGUGUUACGGUACAGAGUCAAUGUUGAGGCUAUAUACAGGGGGUACCGGUACAGAGUCAAUGUGGAGGCUAUAUACAGGGGGGGACCGGUACAGAGUCAAUGUGGAGGCUAUAUACAGGGGGUACCGGUACAGAGUCAAUGUGGAGGCUAUAUACAGGGGUUCCGGUACAGAGUCAAUGUGGAGGCUAUAUACAGGGGGUACCGGUACAGAGUCAAUGUGGAGACUAUAUACAGGGGGGUACCGGUACAGAGUCAAUGUGGAGGCUGUAUACAGGGGGGUACCGGUACAGAGUCAAUGUGGAGGCUAUAUACAGGGGGGUACCGGUACAAAGUCUAUGUGGAGGCUAUAUACAGGAGGUACCGGUACAGAGUCAAUGUGGAGGCUAAAUACAGGGGGUAACGGUACAGAGUCAAUGUGGAGGCUAUAUACAGGGGGUACCGCUACAGAGUCAAUGUGGAGGCUAUAUACAGGGGGUACCAGUACAGAGUCAAUGUGGAGGCUACAUACAGGGGGUACGGUACAGAGUCAAUGUGGAGGCUAUAUACAGGGGGUACCGGUACAGAGUCAAUGUGGAGGCUAUAUACAGGGUGUUACGGUACAGAGUCAAUGUGGAGGCUAUAUACAGGGGGGUACCAGUACAGAGUCAAUAUGGAGGUUAUAUACAGGGGGGUACCAGUACAGAGUCAAUGUGGAGGCUAUAAACAGGGGGUACCGGUACAGAGUCAAUGUGGAGGCUAUAUACAGGGGGUACCGGUACAGAGUCAAUGUGGAGGCUAUAUACAGGGGGGUACCGGUACAGAGUCAAUGUGGAGGCUAUAUACAGGGGGUACCGGUACAGAGUCAAUGUGGAGGCUAUAUACAGGGGUAACGGUACAGAG
rnacentral:lncRNA from 1 species